AGAGCAAGGCCUAAGCGAUUUUCAUCAAAAUCGCUGUUUUUUGUUUGCGAAGUUCAAUACGUUGUUUUCCGUAUUUGCGUAUUUUGUUGUGAUAACGCCAAUAAGGCUCUUUUCAGCCUUUCAAAGAGCCUGUGCAAAGUGCUAGUAUUGGUCAUAGUGAUGGACACCUCCUUGAUCCUGUGCUGUGUUUACAAUCUAACACAACAGCAGCAGCAGCUCUAUUGGACUGGGGUCUUGUUACAGCAGAUGUGCUUUUGGGAAUCCAUAGUUCCCCCGAGGACCACCACCCUUCCCUGAUAGCAGCCUGCCUUCUCCCACUUCAGCGUUCCCAUUCAUCUCUAAAUAAGUGCUGAACUGAAACACUCCUCAUCUUGAAACAAGCAUUGAAGCAGAGCAGAAGGCCACCAUUGGGCCCCCACUAAUAGCAUAGGGACCACCGAUUGAUUUUAGAUUCACUUAUACCUGGUUGCUUGAUGGUGUGUAAAGCCAGAUUCUCAAGAUAGAAAGGAAGUCACAUUUAUACAACCAGCUGACCUCUUAGUCUAGAGAUUGGAUUAUGCACUUUAUGACACAAAUGGAUUCAUAUGUGCUCUUCCAUCUCUUUAUAAGCAUGUAAACAAAUUAGAUACUUUCUGACUCAAGUAUUAUGCAGUAAUGUUUGAUUUGAGAUGCACCAAAUAGUGUUCAGAAGUGAUUCUAAGCUGAACUACUGCAGACAGAGAAAUCUUUUGUAUCUUUGUUUAUGAUGUCAAACCACUUGCAACAGGAUUUGAUACCGAGCAAGAAGAAAACACUGUUCCUCUAUUUGUGUUCCUCUUACUUACCAUAUCAAAGCUUCACUUCCUCUUUGCUGUAAUAAUCGUUAGAGGACCAGAGGUCCCAUUUAUGGCUGCCUGCAUGUAAACAGUUGUCAAACAUAUAGCUUUGCAUACCUGUUUAGUUUGGGUUUGUCAUAGUUUAUCAUAUAGUGCAGGGAUAGGUCAUGAAGAAAAAAUUCUGGUAUCAUGUACUCUCAUGUCAAACCAAACCUGUAUAACUUUAUUUAUUUUGUGGAAGAUAUUUAAAAAAAAACUAAAUUGUUCUGUAAAUAGAAUUACUAUUAGGGUUCGUUAAACAAGCCACUUCGGCACCUUCUUGUAAUGUUUAUGUGAUGCACUAUAAGAAAGUUCUACUCACUGUAGU
rnacentral:lncRNA from 1 species